GUUAAUUUAUGCAAAAUACGGCGUAUGAUUCGGUAGUAUUAAAUUGUAAAUAGAAAGCAUUUAUAAAAUUAGACAGCUACGAAAAUCGGGGCCUAGCAAUUUUUUUAUGAAGAAGGGGAGACGCAGACACACACAGUUCGGAAACCACUGUUCUACUCGUAUAUAUAGCGUGGUUUAAGCGAAGAUCCGAUAAUGGUAUAUGGGAAAAAUUAAAGUUUUUGUCUUAAUAUUAACGGCCAUUCUUAAGAUAAUGGCCAUCUUUACCGACUGGCAGUUUAGUCUCUGUACCGGUAAUAUUCGAACUUCAAACAUUUUUAUUCUUUCUAAAUUUUUUAAACGGAAACAAAUUUAAUACUUAAAAUUUCCCCUUUUCCAGUCGGUACUCGUUCGUUUCUUCCGGUAUUAAUUCGAUUGACUAGCCCCGCGCCAAUCCGUCUUUACCAUCCAUUGGUAUAAUUAAUAUGUCAUUUUGGUAGCGGCCAAAUUCCUUUCCGCUAUAAAAAUUAAACCAUUUUUUCGGCGGACUGAUUAUUUUUUGAAGAAUUAUUUUCUAACCUACCAUAUAAACCGCUGACCCGGUACUUCCCAGUUUAAUUAAUCCGGUAGUAUAAAUGUAUUAAUUGAAUAAUUUUGCGCCUCGAUGCUUUUAGCGCCGACACGGUAUAUUUGAAAUUAUUUCUUUUAAAAACCAAACCCUACCGCCUCUAUACCAAAAUACGCGGCCGAGUAUGGGCUUUCUAUAUGUUUUAAAUUGAACUAAUUACCACUCGGGUAAGAGAAACGCUAAGUAGCCUACCAGAAUACGUAAAUCUCUCGUUUAUUUAUUAUACUACGGUUGGUAAGAAAAAGACGCUCGAAACGCCUAGUAGGCCAUCGUUUCUACCGCCCACCCCUAACGGUUCCGUAAGAAGCGCCAUCCGGUACACAGAAGAUACACUUUUCUUUCUAUCGGUGUUUAAAAAAAUCUUCCGGUGUAGAAAAUGGCCGGGUUAACGGACGAUAUCUUAGCCCCGAAAGGGUGCGCAUUGGCGCCAAAUGCGGAAUUUUCUCUCUUCCCAGACACGCUCUGCCGCUGGUACUCCGACGUUCCAAUUAAGCCAAAAUGUCCGUUCAGACCACCGUGCCCGGCCGGAGUCCCGUCACCGUGCUUAAUCGAUUUUUACGUCAUCUUGACUGUUUAGCGCUGGGUAUUCCGGCUAUUGAAAUAACUGAGUGGAUGUUAGGACUAGAGGCGGGGCCACCGACUAGUCCUAACAACCACUCAAACGCGUCUGAUCUCGGGCCCGGGAUCCAUCCGCCAUCUCCUCAUUUUACCGCGGACGUCCAGGAUUGAUUCCGGAGAGUAGGUCGAGAGGAAAUAGUUGGGCUGGUCGGCUCUCUCCUUAGGUCCAAACAGGUAAAAUGACCCGCGGCUCGAUCGGGUCACCAGUAAACUGUCGAUAUAAUUUCCGAUUUUAAGAAACUCCAAAAAAGGUGGAGGGGACGAAAAUAACAAUAAUAUAAAUGUCGUUUGUAUUUUAGUACUUUAUAAAUAUUAUUUUUCUAGACCCGAAAACGAGUCGACGGGUAAAAGAAUGGAAACCCACUGUGAGCUGGAUAGCCCAUAUCUAAUUAAAGUGUACGGUACCGGAAGUUAAUUUGACCGGAUAGCGGAAUAAUUAAAUAUUUUCUUCCGAUAAAAAGUUAUAAAUUAGACACUACCAUUAUGUAUCACUAUUAGUCGCGUUAAAAGAGGUAAGUGGCCUACAAUAAAAUCGCAUUGAACGUUCCGACGAAAAAGUCGUGCCAAGGCGCGUUAAGAUAACCACCAGCCAUACGUUUUCUUUUUUUGAUUAACAGAUGACAGUAGUUUACAUUCAGUUAGAAUAAGCUCUUCCACAGCUGCCCUUCCCCGCGGAGGGAUGAUGGCCGGGCCCGGACCCUGUGAUAAAUAUUUUCAAGGGGUAGGAUCAGAGAUUCGAACCCGGGUUCUCUAGACGGGAAAGUCGAAGCGUUUCCGCGCGGCCAAUCCAGC
rnacentral:lncRNA from 1 species